rnacentral:rRNA from 1 species
CUGUAAGCCUGUGAAGGUGGCCUGUGAGGGUUGCUGGAGGUAUCAGAAGUGCGAAUGCUGACAUAAGUAACGAUAAAGCGGGUGAAAAGCCCGCUCGCCGGAAGACCAAGGGUUCCUGUCCAACGUUAAUCGGGGCAGGGUGAGUCGACCCCUAAGGCGAGGCCGAAAGGCGUAGUCGAUGGGAAACAGGUUAAUAUUCCUGUACUUGGUGUUACUGCGAAGGGGGGACGGAGAAGGCUAUGUUGGCCGGGCGACGGUUGUCCCGGUUUAAGCGUGUAGGCUGGUUUUCCAGGCAAAUCCGGAAAACCAAGGCUGAGGCGUGAUGAC